GUCCUAGUGCGUCCCUCUGAGUCCUGGAGAAUUGAGAAGAGCAGCUCCCACCAGUUCAGCUUCAACACAAACCAUGUUCCCUGCAUCUCUGCUGCUCCUGCUGCUGGCAGCUGCCUCCUGUGUCCACUGUCAGGUCGUACUCACACAGGCUGAACAGUCAGUCCAGGGGACUCCAGCAGGGUCCCUCAAACUCACAUGUGCCUGUAGUGGAUUUACUCUAAGCAGUACUAGAAUGCACUGGAUCCGCCAAGCACCUGGAAAAGGACUUGAAUGGAUCAUUUACUAUUAUUCUGACACUUACAAGAGCAAUGCCCCGGUAGUACAGGGCCGAUUCACUGCAUCGAAGGACAGCACUAAUUUCUAUCUGCACAUGAGCCAGUUGAAGCCAGAGGACUCUGCAGUGUAUUACUGUGCUAGAGACUCACUAUGGUUUAACUAA